rnacentral:rRNA from 1 species
UAGGGAAUCUUCGGCAAUGGGGGCAACCCUGACCGAGCAACGCCGCGUGAGUGAAGAAGGUUUUCGCAUCGUAAAGCUCUGUUGUAAGAGAAGAACGUGUGUGAGAGUGGAAAGUUCACACAGUGACGGUAACUUACCAGAAAGGGACGGCUAACUACGUGCCAGCAGCCGCGGUAAUACGUAGGUCCCGAGCGUUGUCCGGAUUUAUUGGGCGUAAAGCGAGCGCAGGCGGUUUAAUAAGUCUGAAGUUAAAGGCAGUGGCUUAACCAUUGUUCGCUUUGGAAACUGUUAAACUUGAGUGCAGAAGGGGAGAGUGGAAUUCCAUGUGUAGCGGUGAAAUGCGUAGAUAUAUGGAGGAACACCGGUGGCGAAAGCGGCUCUCUGGUCUGUAACUGACGCUGAGGCUCGAAAGCGUGGGGAGCAAACAGG